rnacentral:rRNA from 1 species
AUUGAACGCUGGCGGCAUGCCUAACACAUGCAAGUCGAGCGGAUGAAGGGAGCUUGCUCCUGGAUUCAGCUGCGGACGGGUGAGUAAUGCCUAGGAAUCUGCCUGGUAUUUGGGGAUAACGUCCGGAAACGGGCGCUGAUACCGCAUACGUCCUUAUGGUGAAAGUGGGGGAUCUUCGGACCUCACGCUAUCAGAUGAGCCUAGGUCGGAUUAGCUAGUUGGUGGGGUAAAGGCCUACCAAGGCGACGAUCCGUAACUGGUCUGAGAGGAUGAUCAGUCACACUGGAACUGAGACACGGUCCAGACUCCUACGGGAGGCAGCAGUGGGGAAUAUUGGACAAUGGGCGAAAGCCUGAUCCAGCAAUGCCGCGUGUGUGAAGAAGGUCUUCGGAUUGUAAAGCACUUUAAGUUGGGAGGAAGGGCAGUAAGUUAAUACCUUGCUGUUUUGACGGUACCAAAAGAAUAAGCACCGGCUAACUUCGUG